rnacentral:lncRNA from 1 species
AGAUUGGUGGUUAGCAUUGAUACAUGGAGGCUUAAUCUUCCUUGAUUCAAAUCUAAUUCAUCUUGAUCAUGGAUCAAGUGAAUGGCUUUGCAUUAAGGAUAGAUUGCUUCCUAAAUCAUGCAAAGAACCUAAAUCAAUACAAGAUCAUUUCUCAUCCUCUUUUUGGCAUGGCAAGUUGUUGGAGUUUGAUUCACUAAUCAAGACCUCUAACUUG